GACGAACGCUGGCGGCGUGCUUAACACAUGCAAGUCGAACGGAAAGACCCUGCUUUUGCGGGGUGCUCGAGUGGCGAGCGGGGGAGUAACACGCGAGUAACCUGCCCUUGACUUUGGGAUAACUUCAGGAAACUCGGGCUAAUACCGGAGAGGAGCUCCUGCAGCAUGGGGGGGGUUGGAAAGAUUCGGCGGUUGGGGAUGGACUCGCGGCUUAUCAGCUGGUUGGUGGGGUAGUGGCGUACAAAGGCUGCGAAGGGUAGCCGGCCUGAGAGGGUGACCGGCCACCUUGGGCCUGCGGUACGCACCAGUAUCCAACGGUCGGCAGCGGUCGGGAGCCUUACACAGUGGGGCGGAGUGUGUGGUGGCGGCCCCCCGUUCGGGAUGCCGGCCUACGAGUGGAAAACCGCUUUCGCCUGUGACGUAGCGUGAGUGACGGUACUGGGUCAGAAAGCACCGGCUAACUACGUG
rnacentral:rRNA from 1 species